rnacentral:rRNA from 1 species
GACGAACGCUGGCGGCGCGCUUAACACAUGCAAGUCGAACGGAAAGGCCCUGCUUUUGUGGGGUGCUCGAGUGGCGAACGGGUGAGUAACACGUGAGUAACCUGCCCUUGACUUUGGGAUAACUUCAGGAAACUGGGGCUAAUACCGGAUAGGAGCUCCUGCUGCAUGGUGGGGGUUGGAAAGUUUCGGCGGUUGGGGAUGGACUCGCGGCUUAUCAGCUUGUUGGUGGGGUAGUGGCUUACCAAGGCUUUGACGGGUAGCCGGCCUGAGAGGGUGACCGGCCACAUUGGGACUGAGAUACGGCCCAGACUCCUACGGGAGGCAGCAGUGGGGAAUAUUGCACAAUGGGCGGAAGCCUGAUGCAGCAACGCCGCGUGCGGGAUGACGGCCCUCGGGUUGUAAACCGCUUUCGCCUGUGACGAAGCGUGAGUGACGGUAAUGGGUAAAGAAGCACCGGCUAACUACGUG